GGAGAGGAGGUGGAGGCUAUUAGCGGAGGAGCAGAGAUGGAGCCGGUGAAAUAAGCAAAGAAAUCCGUUCCUCGGUGUAACUUUAUUUGAGGAUCAGCUGCAAACCGCUGCUGAUGCUGAAGGGGUGCGCUUGAUUCACGCGUGCCCGGUUUCUGUGCACCACAACAAGCUGGCUGCCAGUCAAACAGCUGAUCAGCGCAUCUUCGAUUAUCUGACUUCCGAAGGUCCGCUCCUGCAGACGGGGGCGCGCACAUGUUCAUUUUAAUAGACGCGGCGAUGCUCGAGCUGCUCGAUGGAGGUCACAUUGCUGUCGAUGCGCACUGCUCCGUCCUUCUGUGCGCACGCUGGAGUAUUCUGUCCUGCACGCCCACUUGACACUUCCGAUUGGCCUAAGGAUGUGAAGAUAGGAAGAAACGUCAAAAAGAAAUAGGAACCAAAGUCUGUCUCGGGUUUGUCAGUUGUGAAAGGAGGAGGCGCAAACACUGAACAGGCAGCCAGAAAAAAAGGUGCCGAGUCUGGGGAAUCGACUCGUGACGAUGCAUCAACUGUGCGAGAGCCUGAAGAUGGCCGACCAUAAUUUCUGGCAUGUCAGAAAUUCAUCCAGCUGUCCAACAGCCGAUCGUGCGUCU